UACGUAGGGGGCAAGCGUUAUCCGGAUUUACUGGGUGUAAAGGGAGCGUAGACGGAGAAGCAAGUCUGAAGUGAAAGCCCGUGGCUUAACCACGGGACUGCUUUGGAAACUGUUUGACUAGAGUGCUGGAGAGGUAAGUGGAAUUCCUAGUGUAGCGGUGAAAUGCGUAGAUAUUAGGAGGAACACCAGUGGCGAAGGCGGCUUACUGGACUGUAACUGACGUUGAGGCUCGAAAGCGUGGGGAGCAAACAGG
rnacentral:rRNA from 1 species